rnacentral:siRNA from 1 species
CUAGUUCAACACUGAGGUGGUGGU